UAGCGGGUUCGCGCCGAUUUGAUCUCAUUAGAUUGCGGGCGCGUUAGAAAUGCCGCUAAAGCGUGACCGGACACGAAACGAA
rnacentral:misc_RNA from 1 species